UUCCUGGUGGUCUACUGGUUAGGACUCGGUAUUUUUACAGCUGUGGCCUGGGUUCAAUCCCUGGUCUGGGAA
rnacentral:tRNA from 1 species